UACGGAGGGUGCAAGCGUUAUCCGGAUUCACUGGGUUUAAAGGGUGCGUAGGCGGGCAGGUAAGUCCGUGGUGAAAUUCUCUGAGCUUAACUCAGAAACUGCCAUGGAUACUAUUUGUCUUGAAUAUUGUGGAGGUAAGCGGAAUAUGUCAUGUAGCGGUGAAAUGCUUAGAUAUGACAUAGAACACCAAUUGCGAAGGCAGCUUACUACACAGUUAUUGACGCUGAGGCACGAAAGCGUGGGAUCAAACAGG
rnacentral:rRNA from 1 species